AGAGCGAACGCUGGCGGCAGGCCUAACACAUGCAAGUCGAGCGCCCGUAGCAAUACGGGAGCGGCAGACGGGAUAGUAACACGUGGGAACGCGCCCUUCGGUUCGGAAUAACUCAGGGAAACUUGAGCUAAUACCGGAUACGCCCUUACGGGGAAAGAUUUAUUGCCGAAGGAACGGCCCGCGUCCGAUUAGCUAGUUGGUGAGGUAAUGGCUCACCAAGGCGACGAUCGGUAGCUGGUCUGAGAGGAUGACCAGCAUCACUGGGACUGAGACACGGCCCAGACUCCUACGGGAGGCAGCAGUGGGGAAUAUUGGACAAUGGGCGCAAGCCUGAUCCAGCCAUGCCGCGUGGAUGAUGAAGGCCUUAGGGUUGUAAAAGUCCGUUUAACGGGAAGAUAAUGACGGUACCCGAGUAAUAAGCCCCGACUAACUUCGCGCCAGCAGCCGC
rnacentral:rRNA from 1 species